AAAGAAAAGAUUUUCUUUUCGCAUCGUGAGGAAGUAUUACAUCAAUUAAAAAAUGUUAGGAAGUUGAUUACUUGUCAUGGAAAAGUAUACCAAUGGAAAUUAUUUGUUAAAGAAGUAUAAUUCUAAGGGUUUUAAGAAUAAAUUGGUUGAACCCAAAAUCUGGAGGAAGUACCUAUAUCCAUACACAGAAUAUGCCCAUUAAGAAUACUAAUCCAAAUUUGCUUUAAUGGAACGAUUAGGGCCCGAUAUAUUUGAAACUCUUGUUGGACAUAGUAUUGAGUUGGGUAGAAUAUUAUUCUACGUUAAGUGAGGAUAUCAGAUACCUAUUA